AAGGAAGUAGCCGUAACCAGGCCUGUGGGAAAAGUCUAGCUCUGGUGGAGCUCCUGGUAACUUGGGCGACGGGCUUGGAUCGGACGAUUGGAACCAUCUGACCUUUCCCUCAGAUGGGAGAUAUCCUGUGAUAGGAAGUGUCACCUCUUACCAUGUCUGGCUGGCGGCGACCCAGGAACCAUGUGGUGGCCAUUUGAAGACAAGCCUGCUGGACAUCAGCUGGCCAGCACAGGGAUUGAAUACUGGACUUUGGUGUUAUCAGCACCAUGCUCCAACCAACUGACCUAACUGGCCAGCCCCACGAGUGCAUUCUUGAUGAAAGGAUGAGGUUGGCCCCCUUAUGUCUCUCUCUUGCCAAGUGCUCUCGCCAUGGGAUGACACAGCAAGAAGGCCCUCGCUAGAUGCGGGCCCCUCCACCUUGGGCUUCCCAGCCUCCAGCAUUGUAAGAAAUAAAACUCUAUUCUUUAUAAAUUA